rnacentral:rRNA from 1 species
UACGUAGGGAGCAAGCGUUAUCCGGAUUUACUGGGUUUAAAGGGUGCGUAGGCGGGCCCUUAAGUCAGUGGUGAAAGCUCCGAGCUUAACUCGGAAACUGCCAUUGAUACUAUAGGUCUUGAAUUCGGUCGAGGUUGGCGGAAUGUGUCGUGUAGCGGUGAAAUGCUUAGAUAUGACACAGAACACCGAUUGCGAAGGCAGCUAGCUAGACCGACAUUGACGCUGAGGCACGAAAGCGUGGGGAUCAAACAGG